ACUUGAAUCACCUUGGAAUCAAAUUAAAAUUCAGAUUCUGAUUCAGUAAGUCUUGCAUGGGAGCCAUUGGUUCUCCAUUUUUAACAAGGUCCCAGGUAAUAUAUAU
rnacentral:miRNA from 1 species